UACGUAGGGUGCGAGCGUUAAUCGGAAUUACUGGGCGUAAAGCGUGCGCAGGCGGUCUGUUAAGACCGAUGUGAAAUCCCCGGGCUUAACCUGGGAACUGCAUUGGUGACUGGCAGGCUUUGAGUGUGGCAGAGGGAGGUAGAAUUCCACGUGUAGCAGUGAAAUGCGUAGAGAUGUGGAGGGAUACCGAUGGCGAAGGCAGCCUCCUGGGCCAACACUGACGCUCAUGCACGAAAGCGUGGGGAGCAAACAGG
rnacentral:rRNA from 1 species